rnacentral:tRNA from 1 species
GGCUCGUUGGUCUAGGGGUAUGAUUCUCGCUUAGGGUGCGAGAGGUCUCAGGUUCAAAUCCCGGACGAGCCC